GGUUCGCCCUCGCGGCGGACGCAGCGGGGUUCUCCGCGGGGCACAUCUCGAGCUCCGCGCACACGCGCGCGGGGUCCGCGAGCACCGCCGACGCCUUCGGGUCGUCGUUCCAUCGUUCAAAGCGACGUCGGGGCGGAGUCGAAAGGCGUCAGAAGCGGAGUCGAAAGGCGACGAGGUCGGGCGUUGAAAGCGUGGGGUGGGCGGAGAGAAACGCCGGGAGAGAAAGUCCUUAAGAAACGGCGUGCACCGCGCGAACGCGGUCGUAUGGGGACCAGUGCGGUGGAGAGAGAGAGAUCGCAACGCGCCUUGGUC
rnacentral:lncRNA from 1 species